UCAGAGAUUUCUUCCUGCGAAGAGUUUUUUUUUCUUUCUCUCCACUGUUGCUAAGUGCUCGCUCAUUGAGUUCCUAUUGGGUUUGUUUGUUAUGAGUUGGCUCUAACUCAACCUUCUUGGUUGGUUGAAGAGCAGCAUUCUGGAUCAUUUGCAUCAGUUUCACUGUAGGCCAGAAAAGCAGUCGAGGCAGGAGGUGACCGUCACCUGUACCAAGAGGAUGGCUUGAUUUAGAUUCAACAAGAACAGAGAAGAAUUGCUGGUCAUCAGGCAUAACACCUAGGUUUCCUGUAACUUUGGUUGAGAUAUGUGACCAAGAGGAUAUUUAGAUGCUGAGGUUGUGUGAGAGGAAAUGCCUGCUGAGGAUGACCAAGACCUCAGUCAGUCCAGAGAGUUUUCAAUGUAUCUUCCUUCUCGAGUAAAGAGAAUCCUCUUCUCAUUCGUCUCCUCUCUGCUAUGAUUGUUGCGAUGCUACUUUCAAGUUCUUGCAGAUUCGGGAUCAAGAAGCCAGAGGUGACGUGGAGAACUCCUGGCUACUACAGACUCCGCUCUUGUAAAGCUCCACAAAUACGGUAAAAUUAGCUGUGGAACCUUUUCAACUCCUGUGUGCUGUUCCCAGCACAUGGCCUUGUGUGGGAUGUCUUCUCAUUAUAUCUUCACUGAAUCAUUUUGAAAAAAAAAAAUACCCACCACCAACUUGUUCAGUCUAUAUUUAGAAAGAGGAAUUGGAAGUUUACAAUUUAAAAGUGCUGGAUGCAAACUUUGGGACAGGGUCUUCAGAGUUUAAAGCUUGAAAAUAUCUAAUUGCCUUUUUUCUGAAGUUAACAAUGACAUAAGAUGUCAAUCUUAAAAGGUCGUCUCUAUCACAAGAAUGCAAAACAAAUCUAAAAGAUAUCAAAAGCGUAACAACAAUAGAGAUAAAUCGCAUCAAAUCAUUUUUUAUUUCAGCUUCUCUCUGCAGAGAGACACCACAGCGGAUGAUCCGCGUAUUUGAUUUGAAAUUUGAACCAGUAAUCCUCUGGUUACAAUCCUAAUUCCUUUCCGCAAAUGAACCGGGUGAAUUAAAUUAAUCAGAUUCCAUUGAAAUUAAUAAAAGACCUGUAUUAUAUAUCCAAAAAUACUCACUCAUACUCAAAAAACACUUAAAUUAAGUUCUGCCUUCUUUAAUACCGUAGUAUUGACACUAAUAAGCAAUAAAACAAGUGUUUAAAGGGACUCAUGAGUGAAUGUUCAAAAUGGCAGACUUAAUAUAGUGGACAAUGUUGCCCCUCAGCAGACUCUCUUCAGGGUUGCCAGAUCCUUUCCAUUAGACAGAAACAAAGAUUCAUUCACACAAGCGUCUGUCUUUAAAUUCCUCUCUGCUUUCAGCCACGUACACUUUUCAAACCCUUCUCCUCUGCAGACGCUAUUGAUUUCAAGACAAAUCGAUAGACUUUUGAAAUGGCUUAUCUUAAUGCACAAUAACAUGAAACAUGCUUUGGUGUUAAAUCGUGUAACGUUUGACUGAUCAGAGACAAACUGAGACACCUACAGUAAGAAUUUAGCAGGGAAAAACGGUGAUUACUUGUUUAAAAUUGCUUGGCACUGAUUACCUGCAAAGUAUCGGCAGUGUCAGAGAGAGUCAAAGUUGUGGUGUCGAUCAAUAUCUCUCAGUGCACGUCAUUGAUUUAUUGAGAUGCUUAAGACUGCAGAGACGUUUGAAAAAAAUCAACAUAAUAAGAAAUAAUCAGCUCUUAAGAUAUGUUUGCAGAAACAGAACUUUUAUUAUGUUUUUAAAGUCUGUAUUUGUGUAUGCCACUGUUGCAUAUAUAUUAACACUUUAAAGCUGUAGAUCUCGAGAAGACUAACCCUUUUUUUUUUUCUUUUUUUGCUGCAACCAAACGGUGAAAGUAAUGCUGAUACAAGUGAUUUGGUGAUGGCGGUGAGAGAGAGCGGCUAAAUGGACCUUCACACUUCACAGCGCCGCUUUCCAAACCCACAGACAGGACUAAUUGCUGAGACCUGCACAGAGGAAUUCCUCGACAUCGCCAACGAGAGGAAAGAUGGCAGUCAUCCACGCUGAGCCUCUUUAUUUUAAGAUGACCCUGGUUGGCACUUUACCGAGCAAAGAACUAUGUUUGGUAAAUCCCGAAGACAUCCCACUCCGUGACUGUGCGUUACCACGAGAUCUUAGAAACACGUGGAUUUCACCCAGCCACUCAGCAGAGAGCCAGGUACGCCACAUCGUGAAAUCUGACCAGUCAAUGGAGGCUUGAUAUACUUCAGUUCCGGAAAGGCAAAAAGUACGUUACAUACAUACAUACGUCUUAUCCUUCAUAUGCAAUAAUAUCUUAUAUCUAUAUAAUCUAUAUAUUCUUGUAUGUGCUCGUUUUGGAUUUUUCGUUUACCACAGACGGGCAAGGACCUUCAUGAACCUUGAUUUUCUACGUGAAAAUUUUGAAAAUGUAUCAAAAGGAAAACAGUUUUCUUUCCUCGUUCUUUCGUUCUAUCCUCUUCUUCUACGUGAGUUUUGGGAUUUUAGGGAUUCUGCGUUUCCCAGGAAAAAAAAAGUUGUGACACAAUAUUGCACAAUAGCACAUCAUGUUUUUGAGUAAAACAUACAUCUUCAGCAAAAGGCUGCUAUUUAAUUUGGGAAAACAAAACUUAUCUCCUGCAUCCUGCAUGUAUAGGUUCAGACCCAGACUAUGUAAAUGACUGGUUUGGGUUUAACCAGACAAUUCACCAGAUUUUUAGCACAAUUCAGUCACAACCUUCCAAAAUUUCCUGUUAAUCUGUGCUCAUCAGUGAAUUUAUGAACCUCCUCGGUGUCAUGGCAGAGGCCACUGAAUGUAAGGUGUCUCAGGAGGAGACGGCAGCAGUGAAUAUAGCUUGUUAUGUGAUGCCUCGGAUGUUGUGUUUUUUCAUCCUGGUGUCUCAGCAUCUCAUUGGGAUCAGAGUCUAUAUGCAAAAUAUGCUUUGCCUUUAUUUAGCAUUCUAUGGUCAUCCAUCUAGUAUUUGCUGAGAUCACAGACCGAAGUGGUCAACCCAACCACGCUGCUAGUAUGUAUGGCAAGAGAUCUUCUAUCUACUAUACAGUACAGUGAUGCUUUUUGGAGCUUACUGUGGAUAUCCUUGCAAACACUUUCUCUUCAGAAGAAAGUCGUGAGCCAGCCCUUUGAACAGUUUGCAGUACAUCACAGGCAAAGGCAGAGGGCUUUUUUUGGGAGGAAAACUGCAAUUAAAAGACGGACUUUGGAAAGGCUCUGAUCAGAGCUGGAAGGGAAAGGAAGCUGCUGCCACAACAUCCGGCUGCACUUGACAUCACAACAAGGAAACGUGGGCAUCUCCCAGUCGUGGCGCAGCUCUGUGGAAUUACUGCCUGGUAAAAAUGUGAGCGCAGGCGAGGCAGGGUGUGACUGAACACAUCGUAGGCACAGAGGCUCGACGAGCUGACAGAGGUUCUGAGCCAAACUUCACUUUCAACUUGACUGGUUAUGAAACCCGCUGAGUCAGAGUACUUAUAGCAGGCCUACACACAGCAGCAGCAGCAGCAGCAAUACAAAUCCAUAUGGGCACACACAUACACACGCAUACGCACACACAUACAUGCACAGUAACGUCUUUUCUGGUCCUAAAAUAGCUCUCAGCCUCCCACUCUCCCUUAUAUAAGCUCCCAGCACAGUGAUCUAUUGGUGAAGACAAGGGUGUGUGAGAGAGUGUGUUGGUGCAUGUGCCUGUUUAUGUGCGUGCACUUCUGUCAGUGUGUGGGCAGCAGGGCUGUCUUAAGUUGUGUGUGUGUGUGUGUGCGUGUGCAUAUGCACGUUGUUUCUGCAGGAAAAUGCGGUGAACACCAGUUUAAAAUAAAAAAUAACAGCCUCUUGAAGGGAAACUCUAGUUUUUGUCAUUGUAAUCAUGCAAUGUGCAAUAAUAUCCCGGCUACAUCUGCAUUUACCUUCAGUAUAUAUUAAGUUAUAUACAGUUCACCUAUUUAAGUUAAAUAACCUUUUCUAUAAUAUGGUUUACAUACUGUAUAUGGGUACUUAUUUAUUCAAUUCUUGUGUAUUUGACAGAGGUAAAUAUUUUAUUGUGUCUUUUUAUUUGUUUUAUAUUUUAUUUCUUAGUAUAUUGUAUCUUAGUUAGUGCUGUGAAUGUGUUGUUUCUGUUCAUGGUUAGAGUAGCUGUAAAAAGCAAUUUCCCCCCAAUAAAGUUUAUUCAAUAUAGUCAAUACAAUUAAUCAAUUAAUUAAUUAAUUGAUUAGUUAAGUCAAUAAAUGACGAUAAUCAAUAAAGUAUUUCUGAUUCUGA